AGCGAACGCUGGCGGCAGGCUUAACACAUGCAAGUCGAGCGCACGUAGCAAUACGUGAGCGGCAGACGGGAGAGUAACACGUGGGAACGUACCCUUCGGUUCGGAAUAACUCAGGGAAACUGGAGCUAAUACCGGAUACGUCCGAAAGGAGGAAGAUUUAUCGCCGAGGGAUCGGCCCGCGUCCGAUUAGCUUGUUGGUGGGGUAAUGGCCCACCAAGGCGACGAUCGGUAGCUGGUCUGAGAGGAUGAUCAGCCUCACUGGGACAGAGACACGGCCCAGACUCCUACGGGAGGCAGCAGUGGGGAAUAUUGGACAAUGGGCGCAAGCCUGAUCCAGCCAUGCCGCGUGGGUGAUGAAGGCCUUAGGGUUGUAAAGCCCUUUCGGCGGGGAAGAUAAUGACGGUACCCGCAGAAGAAGCCCCGGCUAACUUCGUGCCAGCCGCCGCCGUAAGAC
rnacentral:rRNA from 1 species